AGUGAACGCUGGCGGUAGGCCUAACACAUGCAAGUCGAACGGCAGCACAGUAAGAGCUUGCUCUUACGGGUGGCGAGUGGCGGACGGGUGAGGAAUACAUCGGAAUCUACUUUUUCGUGGGGGAUAACGUAGGGAAACUUACGCUAAUACCGCAUACGACCUACGGGUGAAAGCAGGGGAUCUUCGGACCUUGCGCGAUUGAAUGAGCCGAUGUCGGAUUAGCUAGUUGGCGGGGUAAAGGCCCACCAAGGCGACGAUCCGUAGCUGGUCUGAGAGGAUGAUCAGCCACCCUGGAACUGAGACCCGGUCCAGACUCCUACGGGAGGCAGCAGUGGGGAAUAUUGGACAAUGGGCGCAAGCCUGAGCCAGCCAUACCGCGUGGGUGAAGAAGUCCUUCGGGUUGUAAAGCCCUUUUGUUGGGAAAGAAAAGCAGCAGGUUAAUACCCCGCUGUUCUGACGGUACCCAAAGAAUAAGCACCGGCUACCUUCGU
rnacentral:rRNA from 1 species